UACAGAGGGGGCAAGCGUUGUUCGGAAUUACUGGGCGUAAAGGGCGCGUAGGCGGCCUGUUAAGUCGAACGUGAAAUCCCCGGGCUCAACCCGGGAACUGCGUCCGAUACUGGCAGGCUUGAAUUCGGGAGAGGGAUGUGGAAUUCCAGGUGUAGCGGUGAAAUGCGUAGAUAUCUGGAGGAACACCGGUGGCGAAGGCGGCAUCCUGGACCGAUAUUGACGCUGAUGAGCGAAAGCGUGGGGAGCGAACAGG
rnacentral:rRNA from 1 species